rnacentral:lncRNA from 1 species
GACUCUCAUCUCUAUCUCUCUAUCUCUGAUUCUCUCUAGAACCUUCCCCUUCCUCUCCGCUCCGAUAAGUUUUGCUUGCCUUCUCCGACUAACUCCUAGCCUGAGUCCAUGGUGGUCUCACCACCUACCAGCCUUCUAUAGUUCCUACAUGCUUGGUUGCUAAAGUUUCAUAGCCUGACCAUGAAAAAAUUUCGUCUAGAACUUGUUUGAUUCAAGUUCUAUAGCCAUCUCCAGCCUUGUUCCGGCAAGUUAUGUCUAUUUCGAGCCUGACCUUGGCUCCUCCUGCUUAGAUCAAUGACUAUCCAAGCCUUACUCACCGUUUGGGUUCC